GGAAAGUCAAACGUGGACCUUGCCACGGAAGGCAAAAAAAAGAAAAGAAAAAAAAAGAGGAAACGCUGUGGUGAUUGGAGGCAUCAAGAAAAUGCCCUGUCCUGGCUUAGACGCACUGCUGAACUACUGCCUACUAAUUCACCACUGCAUUAAACCUUAACUGCCAUCAUCUACCUGGACUCAUCAGAACUUUACUGAGAAUGCAUGUCAUCAGCUCCCAGGAGCACAGUCUUCACAGGCACUGAGCUCAACACUGGCAGCACUGAUGAAACAUUUCUGUGCUGAUUCGACACAUAUGGAAACAUUUGGCUUUGAAAGCGUCAAAAAAAGGCCGUCUGUUAUUAAACGGCCUGUUCCUACAACAGGUACUAGA